rnacentral:tRNA from 1 species
GGACAUGUGGCGAAAUUGGUAAACGCGCCAACUUGCCAAGUUGGUCCCUACGGGGUUACGGGUUCGAGUCCCGUCUUGAGUU